rnacentral:rRNA from 1 species
UACGUAGGGUGCAAGCGUUGUCCGGAAUUAUUGGGCGUAAAGAGCUCGUAGGCGGUUUGUCGCGUCUGCCGUGAAAGUCCGGGGCUCAACUCCGGGCCUGCAGUCGAUACGGGCGGACUCGAGUUCGGCAGGGGAGACUGGAAUUCCUGGUGUAGCGGUGAAAUGCGCAGAUAUCAGGAGGAACACCGGUGGCGAAGGCGGGUCUCUGGGCCGAUACUGACGCUGAGGAGCGAAAGCGUGGGGAGCGAACAGG